ensembl:misc_RNA Y_RNA Y RNA
GGCUGGUCUGAAGGUAGUGAGUUAUCUCAAUUGAUUGUUCACAGUCAGUUGCAGAUUGAACUCCUUGUUUUACUCUUUCCGCCCGUCUCACUACUGCACUUGACUAGUCUUAA